rnacentral:rRNA from 1 species
UCGGGAAUUUUGGGCAAUGGGCGAAAGCCUGACCCAGCAACGCCGCGUGAGGGAUGAAGUAUUUCGGUAUGUAAACCUCGAAAGAAUGGGAAGAAUAAAUGACGGUACCAUUUAUAAGCUCCGGCUAACUACGUGCCAGCAGCCGCGGUAAUACGUAGGGAGCAAGCGUUGUUCGGAUUUACUGGGCGUAAAGGGCGCGUAGGCGGCGCGGUAAGUCACUUGUGAAAUCUCUGAGCUUAACUCAAAACGGCCAAGUGAUACUGCUGUGCUAGAGUGCGGAAGAGGCAACCGGAAUUCUUGGUGUAGCGGUGAAAUGCGUAGAUAUCAAGAGGAACACCUGAGGCGAAGGCGGGUUGCUGGGCCGACACUGACGCUGAUGCGCGAAAGCCAGGGGAGCAAACG